rnacentral:rRNA from 1 species
UAGGGAAUUUUCGUCAAUGGGGGCAACCCUGAACGAGCAAUGCCGCGUGAGCGAAGAAGGUCUUCGGAUUGUAAAGCUCUGUUGCCGGGGAAAAAGAGGAAA